CGGGACACGUGGUAUCCUGUCUGAAUAUGGGGGGACCAUCCUCCAAGGCUAAAUACUCCUGACUGACCGAUAGUGAACCAGUACCGUGAGGGAAAGGCGAAAAGAACCCCGGCGAGGGGAGUGAAAAAGAACCUGAAACCGUGUACGUACAAGCAGUGGGAGCACGCUUAGGCGUGUGACUGCGUACCUUUUGUAUAAUGGGUCAGCGACUUAUAUUCUGUAGCAAGGUUAACCGAAUAGGGGAGCCGAAGGGAAACCGAGUCUUAACUGGGCGUUAAGUUGCAGGGUAUAGACCCGAAACCCGGUGAUCUAGCCAUGGGCAGGUUGAAGGUUGGGUAACACUAACUGGAGGACCGAACCGACUAAUGUUGAAAAAUUAGCGGAUGACUUGUGGCUGGGGGUGAAAGGCCAAUCAAACCGGGAGAUAGCUGGUUCUCCCCGAAAGCUAUUUAGGUAGCGCCUCGUGAAUUCAUCUCCGGGGGUAGAGCACUGUUUCGGCAAGGGGGUCAUCCCGACUUACCAACCCGAUGCAAACUGCGAAUACCGGAGAAUGUUAUCACGGGAGACACACGGCGGGUGCUAACGUCCGUCGUGAAGAGGGAAACAACCCAGACCGCCAGCUAAGGUCCCAAAGUCAUGGUUAAGUGGGAAACGAUGUGGGAAGGCCCAGACAGCCAGGAUGUUGGCUUAGAAGCAGCCAUCAUUUAAAGAAAGCGUAAUAGCUCACUGGUCGAGUCGGCCUGCGCGGAAGAUGUAACGGGGCUAAACCAU
rnacentral:rRNA from 1 species